AGAAAGUCUGAGAUAGACAGGAUCACACACCUGUAUGAAGAAGGAGAAGACCCAGUGCUAUCACAACCCAUAACUAUUAACCUGAAGGAAGUUAUGAGGGGCAUAGGGCAAGUAACCAACGUUCAGGAGCGUUCCUUCACUGGAACGUGAAAUAUAUCAGACCUCCAGAAGUGGAGCUGGAAAACCAAUGAAAGUGUACGAAAAGAAGAGCAAACUAAUUUUUUUUCAGCAGCACAACCAAUG